rnacentral:rRNA from 1 species
GGCGAAGCUUUGAUUACCCGCUGCCAGAAAAGCCUCUAGCGAGCGGAGGUGCCCGUACCGCAAACCGACACAGGUAGGCGAGAAGAGAAUUCUAAGGUGAGCGAGUGAACUCUUGUUAAGGAACUCGGCAAAAUGACCCCGUAACUUCGGGAGAAGGGGUGCUCUGGUAGGGUGUAUAGCCCGAGAGAGCCGCAGUGAAUAGGCCCAGGCGACUGUUUAGCAAAAACACAGGCCUCUGCAAAACCGUAAGGUGACGUAUAGGGGCUGACGCCUGCCCGGUGCUGGAAGGUUAAGGGGAGUGCUUAGCGCAAGCGAAGGUGCGAACUGAAGCCCCAGUAAACGGCGGCCGUAACUAUAACGGUCCUAAGGUAGCGAAAUUCCUUGUCGGGUAAGUUCCGACCCGCACGAAAGGCGUAACGAUCUGGGAGCUGUCUCGGAGAGAGACUCGGCGAAAUAGAAUUGUCUGUGAAGAUACGGACUACCUGCACCUGGACAGAAAGACCCUAUGAAGCUUUACUAUAGCCUGGAAUUGUGUUCGGGCUUCGCUUACGCAGGAUAGGUGGGAGG